rnacentral:rRNA from 1 species
AUGGCCUCUCCGAGCUCUGGCUACGUCGAUGCCUCAAGCCGCCUUCGUCCCCGCGCCGCGAGACCUCCCCAUCGCCAGCAUCCCUGCCUGCCGCACCUGAGUUCUUCCACGUCCACUGCAUCCCUCACUCGCGCCCGACCGGUCCUCUGCAUCGCCAGCUACCGACGCCGUAAAGUUUGGGCCGUCCCCGACCUUGCGGCCCUGGCCUCCUGCCCCGCGCCCAGAGCUCCAUCCUCUUCGUCGCCUCCCCGCCAUGGCACCCUGCAGCAGGGCACCACGGCGACCCUCACCUGCACCCGUGCUUCGCUGACCGGAGGCGUCGUCCUCGACCGUCGCCAGCACUGCUGCCCCGCCUGCGUCCUCGACCUCCUCCUUCCACGCGCUGUCAAGUUUCGGGAGCUGCUGCUGUUUUUCUUUUGCUGCUGCAUCUCCGUCCGUCUGCAGGCGACCGCGUCCGAUGUCUGCGAUGCCUGUUGCUGUCACUGGAUGCCAAGACCACCGCGACACCUGAACUUCGUGUCAUUGUUCGCUGCCCGCCUCCCGUCGUUUUCGCCAAGUACCACAAGUUCCUGA